UACGUAGGGACCAAGCGUUGUUCGGAAUUACUGGGCGUAAAGGGCUCGUAGGCGGCCAACUAAGUCAUACGUGAAAUCCCCCGGCUUAACCGGGGAACUGCGUCUGAUACUGGAUGGCUUGAGUUCGGGAGAGGGAUGCGGAAUUCCAGGUGUAGCGGUGAAAUGCGUAGAUAUCUGGAGGAACACCGGUGGCGAAGGCGGCAUCCUGGACCGAUACUGACGCUGAGGAGCGAAAGCCAGGGGAGCAAACGGG
rnacentral:rRNA from 1 species